CCUUUUCUUUUUUGCUAAAAGAAUCUUUAAAAGAAAUGAGGUGAGCAGGGAUCCUGGAAGACAUCAAAGAAAGAGGUGAAAGUGUCUGGUCAAGGUGGAUGCACUACAGGUCCCAUCAAUGAAGUGUUUCCAUUUUAUGGGACUGAAGAAGUGUCCUUUCUGUCAUAGCCCUGCCCUCAGGAACAAGAUCCCAGUCUCAAUUUCUGGAAGCCUCUUUUAAGACAUCCCAGGCAUGAAGAAAUACUAAAUCAUCAAAGUUGCAAUUGUGUUAUGAGCUGAACAGAUCCUUCUCACACAUCCUUUCCCCAUCCCAAUACAUUUUCAAACACUUGCUUUUUCCAUCCUACAAAUCCUACCCUGGAAACAUGAGAUGGUAUAGAGGACACAGUCAAUACUGUUUUCCAAUGGGAAUUUAUGUAUUAGCAUUUUCAUUUGGAAAUACUUUUAAAUUACCCUCCGGGAAACAGAAUGAACAAUAGCCCAAAACAACAUAUGAGCAGUUUUACCAUGUCUUCCCAGCUACCUUUACUUCUGCUUGAUCACCAUUUUGUCAAUGCAAUGAAAGAAGAUUGGAGUAUCAGCUGUCUCAGGUGGAACAUAACAGAGACUUUCAAAUGCAGCUGCCCAUUUAAAUGACAACUCUCUCAGGGCAAUAUGACUAUAGGGAAAUGUCUUAAUUAUCCCACCCUGGUGGGAAGCAGAAGGAGGUAGUGCUGAGGUGCUAAUUGAAUCCCUGCCUUUUACUUGGGUUUCUCUGAAUUUAACAAGCUACUGGUGUUGGGUAGCUAUUAUUUGAAAUUGGUUGCUAUAGUAAAAGGAGACAGGUGCCCCACUUCUUUCCGUCAUUCCCCAUACUUGUACGUUUCAGGUUGCAGAAUUAACAUGCCUUUCCUUUAAUAGCACUUUAAGACAUGUAUCUAACAAAGAUUUAGUUAGUCUCCACUAAAAUUUUUGAUAGCAACUUUAAAAAACUCAGAGUAGGUAUUAAAAAGGAAAUGUGAAUUGUGAUAAACAUAUCUACAUUGCAGACAUGAGGUAAUGGUGUACAAAGACAAAAGGGAAUUAUUAGUAGGUCAGUUUUGCUUGAUUUUCUUUAUAAACAAAGACUUCUCAGAAAGCACCAUAUACCGGUAAUUUCCAAAGCUUGACCUAGGACUUUUGUAUUCUUGAACUUUUAUUUGUUGGUUAUUUCUGAGAAAUCUGAUCUCCAGUUUUGAGUACUAUAGCACAGAAUGAAUUGUUAAGAACCAACUUAAUGUUAAUUGCAAUAAUAAUAUGCAAAAACCCUAGCUGCCAAUUGUAUUCUUUGAACAGGCCAUA